CAGUGUACCCGCGGCAAGACGGAAAGACCCCGUGAACCUUUACUAUAGCUUGACACUGAACACUGGUCCUUGAUGUGUAGGAUAGGUGGGAGGCUUUGAAGCGUGGACGCCAGUCUGCGUGGAGCCGCCCUUGAAAUACCACCCUUUAAUGGCUGGUGUUCUAACGUAGACCCGUUAUCCGGGUUGCGGACAGUGUCUGGUGGGUAGUUUGACUGGGGCGGUCUCCUCCCAAAGAGUAACGGAGGAGCACGAAGG
rnacentral:rRNA from 3 species